rnacentral:lncRNA from 1 species
AUGGUAUAUUUUCUGCUCAUCAUUUUAUCAAUUCUGGUAGUGUUUGCAUUUGUUCUUGGAAAUUUUUCCAAUGGCUUCAUAGCUCUAGUAAAUGUCAUUGACUGGGUUAAGACACGAAAGAUCUCCUCAGCUGACCAAAUCCUCACUGCUCUGGUGGUCUCCAGAAUUGGUUUACUCUGGGUCAUAUUAUUACAUUGGUAUGCAAAUGUGUUUAAUUCAGCUUUAUAUAGUUCAGAAGUAGGAGCUGUUGCUUCUAAUAUCUCAGCAAUAAUCAACCAUUUCAGCAUCUGGCUUGCUGCUAGCCUCAGCAUAUUUUAUUUGCUCAAGAUUGCCAAUUUCUCCAACCUUAUUUUUCUCCACCUAAAGAAGAGAAUUAGGAGUGUUGUUCUGGUGAUACUGUUGGGUCCCUUGGUAUUUUUGAUUUGUAAUCUUGCUGUGAUAACCAUGGAUGACAGUGUGUGGACAAAAGAAUAUGAAGGAAAUGUGACUUGGAAGAUCAAAUUGAGGAAUGCAAUACACCUUUCAAACUUGACUGUAAGCACACUAGCAAACCUCAUACCCUUCAUUCUGACCCUAAUAUGUUUUCUGCUGUUAAUCUGUUCUCUGCAUAAACAUCUCAAGAAGAUGCAGCUCCAUGGCAAAGGAUCUCAAGAUCUCAGCACCAAGGUCCACAUAAAAGCUUUGCAAACUGUGAUCUCCUUCCUCAUGUUAUAUGCCAUUUACUUUCUGUAUCUAAUCACAUUAACCUGGAAUCUUUGAACACAGCAGAACAAACUUGUAUUCCUGCUUUGCCAAACUCUUGGAAUCAUGUAUCCUUCAUUCCACUCAUUCUUCCUGAUUAUGGGAAGCAGGAAACUAAAACAGACGUUUCUUUCAGUUUUAUGUCAGGUCACAUGCUUAGUGAAAGGACAGCAACCCUCAACUCCA